AUGGUGGGCAGCCACCUGGAAACCAUAGGAGCAUCUUCUUGCAGACGCAGGACCUGGUUUGAGUUGGGGUGUUGAAGAAGUCCCUCUGGUAUGACAUAUAUAAUGCCUUUCCCUGGCUGAAGCAGCCAGUCUUCCAAAGGCUCCACUUGCAUUGUGGCAAAGACAAAGCUUCUAUCCAGGACAUCUGGUACUACAAGGAUUGGAUCAGAGCAAAAUAUUCUUCGGUCUGUGGAUCUGGUCAAAAAGCUUUUGCUCUGUUCAAUCUAAGCUUCAAAUCUACCUGUCAACGGUUUCUGGAGAAGUACACUGAGCUACAGAUACUUGAAGAAACAAAAGAAGAGAAGUUAUUUGUGGAAACAGGGAAGGCUUUAUUGGCAGAAAAUGUCAUUUUAAGAUGAGUAGGAGAAGCCAAGGACUCAGCAGGAAGGUAGUCACGUUUCCUGGGAAUCUGAGCACAUGAGCAUCAAACCCCAAACUAUGUUGGAAGGAAACAAGCCUCAGAAAGAAGUCGCACAGGACCAGCAUUUGGCGGCACGUGGAGAACAGGCAAAAGGGCUCUCACCGCCCUGAAGAUUGUAUACUGUGUAUACUGACAUCCACACUGUACUUACUAGAUGAAUGUUGAGCUAUUUUUAACAGUUGAACUGUGUAAAUGUUUCUUAAUCUCUAAGGCAUUAUGUUUGCCUUCCCUUAGUUCUAAUUUCUGGGUUGUCAUAAAGCUCAGUAUCAUGAUUUGAAAGAAGCACUUAUAUGAACUUUUAUGUUAGGACAUAACUAAAUAAAGAAUUCCCUAGCUGCUUAUAAAGUAAAUUUACUUUGAAAUUGUAAAUUACAUGAGGAAACCUUUAUAAAGAUUGUUUGGG